rnacentral:rRNA from 1 species
UACGUAGGGUGCAAGCGUUGUCCGGAAUUAUUGGGCGUAAAGAGCUCGUAGGCGGCCGGUUGCGUCUGCUGUGAAAUCCCGGGGCUUAACCCCGGGCGUGCAGUGGAUACGGGCUGGCUGGAGGCAGGCAGGGGAGAAUGGAAUUCCCGGUGUAGCGGUGAAAUGCGCAGAUAUCGGGAGGAACACCAGUGGCGAAGGCGGCUACCUGGACCAGCACUGACACUGAGGCACGAAAGCGUGGGGAGCAAACAGG